UAGCUAGUUGGUAGGGUAAAGGCCUACCAAGGCGACGAUCGGUAGCUGGUCUGAGAGGAUGACCAGCCACACUGGAACUGAGACACGGUCCAGACUCCUACGGGAGGCAGCAGUGGGGAAUAUUGGACAAUGGGGGCAACCCUGAUCCAGCAAUGCCGCGUGUGUGAAGAAGGCCUGAGGGUUGUAAAGCACUUUCAGUGGGGAGGAGGAUUGAUAGGUUAAGAGCUAAUUAAUUGGACGUUACCCACAGAAGAAGCACCGGCUAACUCCGUGCCAGCAGCCGCGGUAAUACGGAGGGUGCGAGCGUUAAUCGGAAUUACUGGGCGUAAAGGGUGCGUAGGUGGUUGUAUAAGUUAUCUGUGAAAUCCCUGGGCUUAACCUGGGCAGGUCAGAUAAGACUGUAUGACUCGAGUAUGGGAGAGGGUAGUGGAAUUUCCGGUGUAGCGGUGAAAUGCGUAGAGAUCGGAAGGAACACCAGUGGCGAAGGCGGCUACCUGGCCCAAUACUGACACUGAGGCACGAAAGCGUGGGGAGCAAACAGGAUUAGAUACCCUGGUAGUCCACGCUGUAAACGAUGUCAACCAGCUGUUGGUUAUAUGAAUAUAAUUAGUGGCGC
rnacentral:rRNA from 1 species